rnacentral:rRNA from 1 species
AAUUAUUAUUAGAUUUUUAAAUAAUUAUUCACGAAAUAAAUUGAGCUAAAUUUUUGGUAUUUUUGGAAAUUAUAACUAUAUGUUACAAAAUAUAUUAACUAAAUAGAUUUAGGGGUGAAAGGCCUAUCAAAUUUUAUGAUAUCUUGAAGUAUAUAAAAUAUAUCAAGUAUUUCUAAUUCAACUAUUGAAUGUUUAGGUUCAAUAGUAACAUUAUAUUUUUUAAAAAAUUGUUCAAUUUUUUUAAGUAAAAUUGAGUUAGAGCAUAAAAUAUACAUCAAAUUUUUAUUAUAUGAAUAUAAAUAUACUACGGUUAUUAAUAAAUAUAAUCAUAUAUAAUGUAAUUAUUAGUAAUAGUUUAUUAAACUAUAUAAAGGAAUUCGGCAAAAAAAUUUUUCACCUGUUUAUCAAAAACAUAGCUUAUUGAAUAUCAUAAUAAGUAACCCCUGCUCAAUGGAAAUCUAAAUAGCCGCAGUACCUUGACUGUGCAAAGGUAGCAUAAUCAAUUGGCUUAUAAUUGAAGUCUGGAAUGAAUGGGUAAUCUGGAAAAUAACUGUCUUUAUUUGUAGUAUUUUGAAUUUACUUAUAAAGUGAAAAUACUUUAAUAUAAAUAUAAGACGAGAAGACCCUAGAAAUUUUUUGUUAAUAACUUUUGUUGGGGCGACAGGGUAACAUAUAAACUUACUUACAUUUUAUAUAAAUCUUAUAAGGUACGUAACUAAAUUACUCUAGGGAUAACAGCAUAAUAUAUAAAAGUUUAUGACCUCGAUGUUGGACUAGGUAAUUAAAUAUUUAAAAGAUAUCUUAAUUUGCUCUGUUCGAGCAGUACCACCUACAU